CAGAGGCUGGUAGGUGGCCAUUGCUAAGAGCCAGUAGGGGUCUGGUUCAAAGCUGAGGUCUUUUGCCAAAAGGUGUCAAUAUGGGGAAGUACAGGAGGAAGUCAAAGUGCAAGAGUACUGCUAGGAAUGAGUAAUCUAGAAACCACUUACCAGGCUGCCAAGAUCUUUUUGGACCCAACUUUGUCAUAUGCUGCAUUUGCUGUCCUUCUGAACUUUGUGUUGAAUUCCAUCUAAGCUGUCACCAUCACAUGUCAUCACCCUCUAGAAAAAUGGUCAGAUUGAAAGGAUGAGGCAGACCACUAAGGAUGCCCUGAAGCAGAUUGUUGGAAGAGACGGGCCAGUAAGACUUGCCAAGGAUCUCACUGUUCAGUAUGUCAUUCCAUGUUAAACCGGUGGAAUUGUGUUGAAUUACAGAUGUGGGCAAUAUAUCAAGAUUUCCCUUAACUGUUUUCAUCCACAGUUUCCUGAGAAUUUACAAGACCC
rnacentral:lncRNA from 1 species